ACGGCUACCUUGUUACGACUUAACCCUAAUCAUCAACCCCACCUUCGGCGGCGUCCUCCUUGCGGUUAGACUACCGACUUCGGGUGUUGCCAACUCUCAUGGUUUGACGGGCGGUGUGUACAAGGCCCGGGAACGUAUUCACCGUAGUAUGCUGACCUACGAUUACUAGCAAUUCCGACUUCAUGCAGGCGAGUUGCAGCCUGCAAUCUGAACUGAGAUGUUUUUUCGAGAUUUGCUCCGCCUCGCGGCUUCGCUUCUCUUUGUUAAACACCAUUGUAGUACGUGUGUAGCCCGGGUCAUAAAGGGCAUGAUGAUUUGACGUCAUCCCCACCUUCCUCCGUUUUGUCAACGGCAGUCUCAUUAGAGUGCUCUUGCGUAGCAACUAAUGAUAAGGGUUGCGCUCGUUGCGGGACUUAACCCAACAUCUCACGACACGAGCUGACGACAACCAUGCACCACCUGUCUUCGUGUCUCCGAAGAGAGGGAUCAAUCUCUUGACCUUUCACUCGAUGUCAAGACCCGGUAAGGUUCUUCGCGUUGCUUCGAAUUAAACCACAUACUCCACUGCUUGUGCGGGCCCCCGUCAAUUCCUUUGAGUUUCAGCCUUGCGGCCGUACUCCCCAGGUGGAUCACUUAUUGUGUUUACUCCGGCACGGAAAGGUUCGCUCC
rnacentral:rRNA from 1 species